rnacentral:lncRNA from 1 species
CUCGUCGAAAGUCUUCCAUUCUUCAAACUAGAUUAUUUAAAAAUGAAAAAGGAAGAAAGGAAAGCGAGGUCAUCUCAUUGCUCUAUCCGCCAAUCAGGAGGCUGAAUGUCAGUUUUGAACUAAAAGCCGCUCCGCUCCUCUUCUAGAUUUGGAAAACAAGCGAAAUUAAACUAAACCGCUGCACGCCUCUGACGCGACAUCUGGACACGGCGCGGCGCUGGCGCUGCCGGAGCUGUCGACCCGGCCUGGCGCCGGACUAGUGUCCCUUUUGAUGAGAAGAAUAAGCCUCAUUCUGAUUCAACAGCAGAGAUCAAAGAAAAGACUUCUGUUUUCUGGCCACCAGAUAUAUGUUAUCUGUGCUUAAAGAAUUGAAAAACACACAUCAAAGGAGAAUUUUCUUGGAAAGAGAGGGUUCAAGCAUCACUGUUAGGUGUGCUGGAAUCCUUUCCCGAGUCAGUACUGCUUUCUAGAAGAAAACCGGGGAGAUCUAUUUGGAAUGUAUCUAACUCCAAAGAAACCAUCAGAGGUAACAGUAGAGACGGGGUUUCACCAUGUUGGCCAGACUGGUCUUGAACUCUCGACCUCGUGAUUCGCCCGCCUCGGCCUCCCAAAGUGCUGGGAUUACAGGUGUGAGACACCACACCCGGCGGAUAGAGAGAAUUUUGACAGUAUCUUACAGACAGCAAGUUGAACAUUGUGGGAUGCAUGAGCUAUUGAGGCCUUUGCAGCUUUCUGCUACAUGGAGGCUAGGGCCAGAGUCAAGAUUUAUGCUUUGCAGCACACUGGUCAGCUGUUUUUGCAAAUCAGAUUAAAUGAUUUUUAAAUGAGGCUGAGAGCAUGGGAGAUACUAAUGUGUGUUUCCUUGUGAGCUACUGCAUAAGUUAGGAAAUUGAAAUACAGAAAGAUGAAAAGUGAUUUGCCCAAGCAUAUAGAUCAAAGCUGUGGCAGA